rfam:Felis catus isolate Cinnamon breed Abyssinian chromosome B4, whole genome shotgun sequence.
GCCUGGGUGGCUCAGUCGGUUGGGCAGCCGACUUCAGCCCGGGUCAUGAUCUCGCAAUCUGUGGGUUCGAGCCCCGCACCAGGCU